GACGUAGGGCGCGAGCGUUGUCCGGAUUUAUUGGGCGUAAAGAGCUCGUAGGCGGCUUGUCACGUCGGCUGUGAAAACCCGGGGCUCAACCCCGGGCCUGCAGUCGAUACGGGCAAGCUAGAGUUCGGCAGGGGAGACUGGAAUUCCUGGUGUAGCGGUGAAAUGCGCAGAUAUCAGGAGGAACACCGGUGGCGAAGGCGGGUCUCUGGGCCGAUACUGACGCUGAGGAGCGAAAGCGUGGGGAGCGAACAGG
rnacentral:rRNA from 1 species